UACGUAGGGGGCUAGCGUUGUCCGGAAUCAUUGGGCGUAAAGCGCGUGUAGGCGGCCCGGUAAGUCCGCUGUGAAAGUCGGGGGCUCAACCCUCGGAUGCCGGUGGAUACUGUCGGGCUUGAGUGCGGAAGAGGCGAGUGGAAUUCCUGGUGUAGCGGUGAAAUGCGUAGAGAUCAGGAGGAACACCCGUGGCGAAGGCGGCUCCCUGGUCCGUCCCUGACGCUGAGACGCGAAAGCGCGGGGAGCGAACGGG
rnacentral:rRNA from 1 species